rnacentral:lncRNA from 1 species
GUAAAUACACUAAUACUUACCGACUAAAUUAAUCAAAUUGUUUUUAGUUUAGAGACGAAAACAGCAAGUUUAGAAAUUAGAAUAAGAAUGACAAUUUCAUGUGCUAGAAGGCUGUGUGUGUUGUUGUUAAAUAUGACCGACCUACUUAAGACUUUUUAAGCUUUCCAGCCAAUUUGACAAAACAAUAAUAAUCUUUGUCUUGCUGGAAUUUUCAAUAAAAAGAAUAAGAUUUCAACUAUUAAUUCUCAAAUCAUAUUUAUUUAUUAAAGAUAGCAGCAAUGUGGAGUUGAGAUCUGGAUUCUUAAGACUCAAACUCUGGAUUCUUUUAACUAUAAUCAGUUUGAGAUUAAUCUUUUAACUAUAAUAUUAUUUAUCCAAUAAUAUUAAAUCUUAAAAUAAUUUAUUUUAGAUCAAACGGUUGGGAUAGCACAUAUAUUACGUUAGUAACCACAUAUACUCGUCUUCAAACUUGACUGCAUUUUCCAAUUGUACUGAGGUAUCGAACCUUACUGCAAGCCGAUAUCAAGUAGUUCCAUAGGUGCGGGAACCACAACAGAAAUGCAUUCUAUUUCUUUUCAAAAUACACACCUGUAACUUGUAAGUUGAAACUGUGAUUCUGUAAAGAUAAAUGAUUUACAGUUCAG